AUUGAACGCUGGCGGCAUGCCUUACACAUGCAAGUCGAACGGCAGCACGGGUGCUUGCACCUGGUGGCGAGUGGCGAACGGGUGAGUAAUACAUCGGAACAUGUCCUGUAGUGGGGGAUAGCCCGGCGAAAGCCGGAUUAAUACCGCAUACGAUCCACGGAUGAAAGCGGGGGACCUUCGGGCCUCGCGCUAUAGGGUUGGCCGAUGGCUGAUUAGCUAGUUGGUGGGGUAAAGGCCCACCAAGGCGACGAUCAGUAGCUGGUCUGAGAGGACGACCAGCCACACUGGGACUGAGACACGGCCCAGACUCCUACGGGAGGCAGCAGUGGGGAAUUUUGGACAAUGGGCGAAAGCCUGAUCCAGCAAUGCCGCGUGUGUGAAGAAGGCCUUCGGGUUGUAAAGCACUUUUGUCCGGAAAGAAAUCCUUGGCUCUAAUACAGUCGGGGGAUGACGGUACCGGAAGAAUAAGCACCGGCUAACUACGUG
rnacentral:rRNA from 1 species